GAUGAAGAACGUAGCAAAACGCGAUAAGUAAUGUGAAUUGCAGAAUUCAGUGAAUCAUCGAAUCUUUGAACGCACAUUGCGCCCGCCAGUAUUCUGGCGGGCAUGCCUGUUCGAGCGUCAUUUCAACCCUCAAGCACAGCUUGGUGUUGGGACUCGCGUUAAUUCGCGUUCCCCAAAUUGAUUGGCGGUCACGUCGAGCUUCCAUAGCGUAGUAGUAAAACCCUCGUUACUGGUAAUCGUCGCGGCCACGCCGUUAAACCCCAACUUCUGAAUGUUGACCUCGGAUCAGGUAGGAAUACCCGCUGAACUUAAGCAUAUCAAUAAGCGGAGGA
rnacentral:misc_RNA from 1 species